UUUCCUUAAAUUCAGGGUCCAGCUCACAUGGGAAAUACUUUCUGAGACUCAUGGACCUCCUGCACAAGAACAUGAAACACCUGUGGUUCUUUCUCCUCCUGGUGGCAGCUCCCAGAUGGGUCCUGUCCCAGGUGCAGCUGCAGGAGUCGGGCCCAGGACUGGUGAAGCCUUCGGAGACCCUGUCCCUCACCUGCGUUGUCUCUGGUGGCUCCAUCAGCAGUAGUAACUGGUGGAGCUGGGUCCGCCAGCCCCCAGGGAAGGGGCUGGAGUGGAUUGGGGAAAUCUAUCAUAGUGGGAGCCCCAACUACAACCCAUCCCUCAAGAGUCGAGUCACCAUAUCAGUAGACAAGUCCAAGAACCAGUUCUCCCUGAAGCUGAGCUCUGUGACCGCCGCUGGGAGAUGCCCAUCAAGAGUCCCAAGGGUUCUGCCCCCUUCCUUGAUGUGCCUCUGGGAGUGGGGCUGGCUGGGCUGUGGGUCUGCUGUGACCCUCUCCACAGGUCAGCAGUUCAGUGCAGGCUGCACCAACUCGGUGGGGCUGGGCUGUGGCUGA